rnacentral:lncRNA from 1 species
ACAUGACCGCCUUGUUCAGGUGAUCCUCGCACUCCCCUAGCUCGUGCUGGGCCUCCCCGGUCACGUGGGGCCGGAGCCCGGGGAAGGAGGGGAGAGGUCCUGCCUUGCGUGGGCCGCCCUGGUGGCCCGCCCGAGGCGAAGCCGGGGGCACCUGGGCGCCGCCCGAGUCCCGAUCGGGCGGGAGGAUGGAGGAACGGCGUGGCCCCCGCUCCUGUGGCCUCCCAGGAUGGCUCGCGGCGGGCCUCCCAGGAUGCCUCAGGACGCCGCACGGAGGGGCUUCCGUGGCCCAGGCUUAGAAGCCAAAGCUAGCCCUGCUUGUAAUCGCCCGGCCCCGGGAAGUCGCAGAUCGCGUGGGGGGGGUUAGCCCCUACGUCCCGGGGAUGCUGUAAGGAUGCGAUGAGAUGAGAAAAAGGAGACUCAGAGAGGGCAAGUGAGUUACCUAUAGACACACAGCUGGUAAGUAUUAAAGCUGGGAUUUGAAUACAAGUCAAGUCAAAUCAAAUUAAAUCAGUAAGCAAUUAUUAAGUGCCUACUAUGAACCAGGCACUGUGCCAAGGUCUUCUGACUCUAAGUGAAUUAUUAUUUCUAGUAUAUAUACAAUGAACCAGAAUGUUAAAAAAAAAAAUCAUGGACCACAAGGUGGCAGAAUUAUAACAUUGUACAUCAGUUUUUUUUAAAAAAAUUCCAAUUUUACUAAAAAUAAAUAUCUUUAAACUAUUCUUAAUCACCUUCUCCCCGCCAUCUCCAUCCCUAUCUGCUGUAGGUCAGGAGACCAAUAAUAUCCUUAAAAUACAUUCUUUAUACCAUAACCAGGCUCUCUCUGCUAUCUUCUCUUAAUUAACAUUUUUUUCUUUUUGAUGUGUAUUACUUUGCCAAAAACAAUAGGAAUUAGUCAGCUAAUAAUCGUUAAUUUUGCACCUGUCCCAUACUAUAGAGUAAGAAUCAGAGUGAAGAAAGAAUGAAAUAUACAAGGAAGCUUCUAGUUAGGGAAAGAAAAUCUAAAUAAAUAAAAAAGAUUUAAGAAUGUUGACAUAGCACAGGUUAAGUAAUGUUUCAAAGUCACAAGGUUAUGAAUAGUAGAAAUGGGACUGUGACCUAGGUCAUAUGACUUCAAGUUCAGAUACCACAAGACCCCACCACAAAAUGAUAAAAAAUUUUCCUUCCUUCUUAGUGGUUUCCUCAUCACCCCACUCCAUGCCUAGCCCCUGCGAAGACCUAUCUUCUAGGGACCUGCCUACUUACCUGUUUCAUUAGUGGUCUUUAGAGAUUAACACCAGCAGAUAUGAUCUUCCUGUCCCUCUCCUUAAUCAUUAGCUUCCCUUUUUCUUACUUCCUCUUUUCUGCAUUCUUUCCUCGUUCUGUAAAACAAGAAGUUUGAAAUAAACUCUAAAGUCCCUCUCAGUUCCAAUAUUGCAAAACUUUUUCUUUUAUGUAUGAUUUGUGAUUUUAUUAUAUGACUUUGGUAACUAUAGAAUGUCAAAUAUAGAAAAUAUUGUCAAAGGCAUAGCUAGGACAGAGCAACUAGAGUUUUAUUGUAGGGUACUGAAAUUUAGAAAUCUGACAGCACUUGAACUCUUGGUAACAUAGAAAUAAUUUAACUGAACACCUAGUUAGCAUGAAAAAUGAAUUAAAUGGGAAAUUAUUGGAUGAGAUUACAUCCUAGUUGUUACUCUUGGCCAACCCCAUCCUGUUCCACUCCUCUCAAUUAUAAUGAUCUCCCCAGAAGCAGCCUUAUAAUGUCCUGAAGUCUCAACUAAGGAAAAUCAACCCUAGGUCUUGGUCUCUGUAGGAAAACCACACCUCAAACUGAAGUAUCUUAAGUAGCAAAAACCGUAAUUAUAGCUGGUUUUUAAUUUAUUUUUGUAUGAACCUUUCAGAAAUCUGGUGAAGCCUUAAGACCCUUUUACAGAAUAAAAUUUAAUUAAAGGAGGGAGGGAGGCAGGGAAGGAGGAAAGGAGGCAGGAAGGGAGGAAAGGAAGGA